GCCCUGGUAGUGCAACUGUUAAGCACUUGGCUGCUAAUUGAAAGGUUGGUGGUUCAAACCCACCCAGCGGCU
rnacentral:tRNA from 1 species